rnacentral:rRNA from 1 species
GACGUAGGGCGCGAGCGUUGUCCGGAUUUAUUGGGCGUAAAGAGCUCGUAGGCGGCUUGUCGCGUCGUCUGUGAAAUCCCGCGGCUCAACCGCGGGUCUGCAGUCGAUACGGGCAGGCUAGAGUUCGGUAGGGGAGACUGGAAUUCCUGGUGUAGCGGUGAAAUGCGCAGAUAUCAGGAGGAACACCGAUGGCGAAGGCAGGUCUCUGGGCCAUAACUGACGCUGAGAAGCGAAAGCAUGGGGAGCGAACAGG